rnacentral:rRNA from 1 species
AAGGUGGAUUUGUAAGUAAUUAUUUUUUAUAAUAUUAUUAAAUGAAUAGUGGAAUAACAUGUGUACAUAUUGCCCGUCGCUCUCGUUAUUUUUGAGAUAAGUCGUAACAUAGUUGAUGAACUGGAAAGUGUAUCUUUUUGACAUAUUAAAGUUUAUUUUUGAAUUUUUCCUUUACACUGAAAAGGUCUCUUUUGAGUAAUAUGAUAAUUAUUUUUUAGGAUUUUAUUUUGGUAAUCAGAAAGUUUAUUAUAAGUAGUUUGAGCGAAUUUAGUGGAUUAUUCUUAUAGAGGAUUAAGUACUGAGAAGGAACAUUUUAUUAUUUUUUUAUAAUAUUAGGUUAAUUAGUACCUUUUGUAUUAGGGUUGAUCUAUUUGGAUUUACGUUAGUUAUUUCUCGAUGAACAUCGGGCUAUUUUUCUUUUAAAGUUCUCGUUGUAUAGAGUCGAAUAGGGAUUAAUAGGUAUGAAAUAUUAUUCAAGUUGUUUUUUAUCUGGUUCUUUAAGAAAUUUAAUAGUUAGUAUGAUUAUUAGGGCGGUGAAUAGGGAUUAGCUUAUUUAUUUUUUAUAUUUAUUUAUUUAUUGUUGUUUAUUUGUUAAGUUGAUAGUGCUGUAUUUUAAUGGAGUUAUUAUUAGGUAAAUUUAUUAUAUUAUUUUUUGGUUUUGUUUUGUUAUUGGGGUUAUAUUGUGAAUUUAUAAUGAUUUGUGAUAAUGAUUAUAUUAGUAAUAUUAGUAUUAAAAAUUUCAUUUUGAUGUUUUUAGGAAAAAGGGCUGAUUAGGGGUGAUAUUUUAAUUAGAAUUGAUGAAUUCGGCAAAAUAGAUUUCUGACUGUUUAGCAAAGACAUUGUUUUUUGUUUUGAAUAGAAAAUAAGUUCUGUCCACUGCUAUUAGGUGAAGGGCUGCAGUAUUUUGACUGUAUGAAGGUAGCAUAAUCAUUAGCUUUUUAAUUAGAAGCUGGUAUGAAGGUGAAUCAGGGAUUUGCUGUGUUUUUUAUAUUUUUGAAUUUUAUUUUUAUGUGAAAAAUCGUUAUUGGGUUAAUGGGACAAGAAGUCCCUAAUAAGUUUUAUUUUCUUUUUUAAUGCGUGUAUAGGUUAGAGGAUUAAUGCAAUUUAUUUGAGUGGGUUUGGCUGGGGCGGUAUUUUAUUUAACAUAGAUUAAUUUUUAACUUUUUAUGGCGAAAUUUAGACCUAGUUUGUUUAGAUGAGUGUUAAACUACUGUAGGGAUAACAGCGUAAUUUUUUUUGAGAGUUCUAAUUGACA